ACGAGGAGUAGUCGUCGUAGUGCCUUCGGGAACCGGGUGACAGGUGCUGCAUGGCUGUCGGUCAGCUCGUGUCGUGAGAUGUUGGGUUAAGUCCCGUAACGAGCGCAACCCUUGUCCUUAGUUGCCAGCGCGUAAUGGCGGGAACUCUAAGGAGACUGCCGGUGGACAAACCGGAGGAAGGUGGGGAUGACGUCAAGUCAUCAUGGCCCUUACGGCCUGGGCUACACACGUGCUACAAUGGCCGGUACAGAGGGUUGCCAACCCGCGAGGGGAGCUAAUACCCAGAAAACCGGUCGUAGUCCGGAUCGGAGUCUGCAACUCGACUCCGUGAAGUCGGAAUCGCUAGUAAUCGCGAAUCAGAAUGUCGCGGUGAAUACGUUCCCGGGCCUU
rnacentral:rRNA from 1 species